GCGUCAGUGUUUUGCUUUUCCGUCCUUUUUAUUUAUUCGAUUAAAACCUUCCCUUCCCCCACUCUCCAAGAAUCGCCAUUCAAAACCAAAAUCGCAACUAACACAGAAAUAAUAAGAGAUCGAUCCAGCUUCCAUUUUCUCGGCUUCUUCAGUUCUUCAUUCUGAUACCGAUAUGGAUGGAAGCAUGAAACUCCAUGGAGUGGGGAAGUUUUGGUGCAGUAAUAUUUCUUCUUCAAGAAUGGUUGUCUUUCCAAAAAGACGACCACGACCUUCAAGCUGUAAAGAUCAAAAUCAUGUGGAGUGAUUUAUGAGUCGUCCCUCGUACAAAACUCGGAUGGAUCAGAAACCAAAAACCCUAAAAGAAGAACAAAGGGCAAUUAUAAUAACAAACUAAUGAAUAAUAUUGCAUUACAAACAGAUGCAUUUUAAUUUCCUUUGAUUAUUAUUUUAUUGCCCUACUUCUCUUUUAGAAUAUAUGAUAUGAUAUAUAAAACUUAGACAGAAGAAUAGCCAAUCCGACGUUGGUUGUACUUGGAGGAGUUCCCCUUAACCAUACUUCAGAAACAAAUCUCUCUCUAUUUUAUUUUUCAUUAAUGUACUCUUGGGGUUUCUCCCCUUAAUAUUAAUUAAUAUGUGUUCUUGUAUUUUCCAA